CUCAGUUAGCUUUCCUCUACCCCUCCGAGUAGGAGAAGCAUUACUUCUCUCAACCGGUUUGUGGGUUUACCUCCCCACCACUGGGUUGGGAUUUUAGAUAUUGUUUUGGUUCUAGCAGUGCAACGGAAAUUUAUUGGUUCAAGAAUCUUGAAGGGCUGCCUUGUUCUACUUUGUUUUAUCUUCUUUUCUUGAUUGUGUGUGUUGCUGUUGCAGGAGACUAGUUUUCGUCAGAGAUUGGUUACUAGUUAUCUCGGGGACAUUUCAGCGCCCACUAAUGGCUUUCCUAGUUCCUAAAAGGCUGUAAGAGACUGAGAGUGCUAGAGCUCUGCCACGUUUCUCAGUUUCAUCCAACUGAUUCCAUGGUUGCUGGUGUUCUUUUUGUUGUUGUUAUGGGUUCUUUUAGUUUGCUCGACGCCUUGUGGUUGAUGUAUUAUUGGGGUUCUUCUUUUGUGGUGAUACGACCAUGCAUAAUCCCCUUGCGCUUCAUCCGGUGGUCAGCGUCUGUAUUGAGAUGGCUUCUUCCUGAGGUUCUAUUAGGACUUAGCGGCGGAGUUCUGUUUCAACAACUGGAUCCCUCUCUCGAAUUGUGUCCCAACUAAGGUUUUUUUUAGGGUUGGGCCUUAGGUCUUUUAAGUGCUAAGUUGGGCUAUCUUUAGGACUUAACCUUCAAACCAUGAUUUCUUCUCGUUGUGGUUUUCUAUUUGUGAG
rnacentral:misc_RNA from 1 species